CUAUGCGCCUUGCCAGCCCGCUCAGUCAGAGUUUGAUCCUGGCUCAGAGCGAACGCUGGCGGCAGGCCUAACACAUGCAAGUCGAACGAACUCUUCGGAGUUAGUGGCGGACGGGUGAGUAACACGUGGGAACGUGCCUUUAGGUUCGGAAUAACUCAGGGAAACUUGUGCUAAUACCGAAUGUGCCCUUCGGGGGAAAGAUUUAUCGCCUUUAGAGCGGCCCGCGUCUGAUUAGCUAGUUGGUGAGGUAAAGGCUCACCAAGGCGACGAUCAGUAGCUGGUCUGAGAGGAUGAUCAGCCACAUUGGGACUGAGACACGGCCCAA
rnacentral:rRNA from 1 species